rnacentral:antisense_RNA from 1 species
CUUCAACGAGCCGAGGUACAGCGGGCGGUCCUCCGGCCGGUCCUGGCCGUAGGUGGCCAGCAGCGCCUGUGCCUC